rnacentral:lncRNA from 1 species
AAAGAGGAACCUUCUCAGAAGUGAGUCUGGCCCAGGACCCAAAGCGGCAGCAAAGGAAACCUAAAGGCAAUAAAAGCUCCAUUUCAGGAACCGAACAGGAAAUAUUCCAAGUAGAAUUAAAUCUUCAAAAUCCUUCCCUGAAUCAUCAAGGGAUUGAUAAAAUAUAUGACUGCCAAGGUUUACUGCCACCUCCAGAGAAGCUCACUGCCGAGGUCCUAGGAAUCAUUUGCAUUGUCCUGAUGGCCACUGUGUUAAAAACAAUAGUUCUUAUUCCUUUCCUGGAGCAGAACAAUUCUUCCCCGAAUACAAGAACGCAGAAAGCACGUCAUUGUGGCCAUU